GCACUGCUAUCGGGGUUCGAUUAAGCCAUGCGAGUCGAGAGGGUUCGGCCCUCGGCGUACUACUCAGUAACACGUGGAUAACCUGCCCUAAGGAAGGGGAUAACCUCGGGAAACUGAGGAUAAUACCCUAUAGGUUACAGACGCUGGAAUGCCCUGUAACCGAAAGCUCCGGCGCCUUAGGAUGGAUCUGCGGCCGAUUAGGUUGUUGUUGGGGUAACGGCCCAACAAGCCGAUAAUCGGUACGGGUUGUGGGAGCAAGAGCCCGGAGUUGGAUUCUGAGACACGAAUCCAGGCCCUACGGGGCGCAGCAGGCGCGAAAACUUUACAAUGCGGGAAACCGUGAUAAGGGAACCUCGAGUGCCUGUACAUGCAGGCUGUCUGGGUGUCUAAAACACACCCAAAGAAAGGGCCGGGCAAGACCGGUGCCAGCCGCCGCGGUAAUACCGGCGGCUCGAGUGGUGGCCACUUUUAUUGGGCUUAAAGCGUUCGUAGCUGGGUUGUUAAGUCUCUUGGGA
rnacentral:rRNA from 1 species